rnacentral:sRNA from 1 species
GCCAGGUGUGGUGGCGCUUGCCUGUAAUCCCAGUGACUCAGGAGGCUGAGGCAGGAGGAUCACAAGUUCAAGGCCAGCCUCAGCAACUUACUGAGGCUUUCAGCAACUUAGUGAAACCCUGUAA